GAUGAACGCUGGCGGCGUGCCUAAUACAUGCAAGUCGAGCGAACAGAUGAGGAGCUUGCUCCUCUGACGUUAGCGGCGGACGGGUGAGUAACACGUGGAUAACCUACCUAUAAGACUGGGAUAACUUCGGGAAACCGGAGCUAAUACCGGAUAAUAUAUUGAACCGCAUGGUUCAAUAGUGAAAGACGGUUUUGCUGUCACUUAUAGAUGGAUCCGCGCCGCAUUAGCUAGUUGGUAAGGUAACGGCUUACCAAGGCAACGAUGCGUAGCCGACCUGAGAGGGUGAUCGGCCACACUGGAACUGAGACACGGUCAAGACUCCUACGGGAGGCAGCAGUAGGGAAUCUUCCGCAAUGGGCGAAAGCUUGACGGAGCAACGCCGCGUGAGUGAUGAAGGUCUUCGGAUCGUAAAACUCUGUUAUUAGGGAAGAACAAAUGUGUAAGUAACUAUGCACGUCUUGACGGUACCUAAUCAGAAAGCCACGGCUAACUACGUG
rnacentral:rRNA from 1 species